UACGGGGGGAGCAAGCGUUGUUCGGAUUUACUGGGCGUAAAGGGCGCGUAGGCGGCCAGCACAAGUCAGGUGUGAAAUCUCCGAGCUUAACUCGGAAAGGUCAACUGAUACUGUGCGGCUAGAGUGCGGAAGGGGCAACUGGAAUUCUCGGUGUAGCGGUGAAAUGCGUAGAUAUCGAGAGGAACACCUGCGGCGAAGGCGGGUUGCUGGGCCGACACUGACGCUGAUGCGCGAAAGCCAGGGGAGCGAACGGG
rnacentral:rRNA from 1 species